rnacentral:rRNA from 1 species
GAUCAGGCUGUUGGUGAGGUAAUGGCUCACCAAACCAUUGACCAGUACGGGCCAUGAGAGUGGUAGCCCGGAGAUGGACACUGAGACAAGGGUCCAGGCCCUACGGGGCGCAGCAGGCGCGAAACCUCCUCAAUGCACUAACGUGCGAAGGGGUUACCUCGAGUGCCAUCUGAAAAAGGUGGCUUUUCCUUGGUCUAAAUAGCCUUCGGAAUAAGAGGGGGGCAAGACUGGUGUCAGCCGCCGCGGUAACACCAGCCCCUCGAGUGGUGGGGAUGAUUAUUUGGCCUAAAGCGUCCGUAGCCGGCCGGGUAAGUUUCCCG